CCCUUUGUGGUGUAGUUGGUAUCACACCCGGCUGUAAUGGAAUCUUCUCCUUGCGGAGUACCGGUUGGUCACCAGUUCGACUCUGGUCGGAGGGA
rnacentral:tRNA from 1 species